rnacentral:rRNA from 1 species
CGGGUAGGCGGCCACUGUAAGUCGAUUGUGAAAUCUCCGGGCUUAACUCGGAAAGGUCAGUCGAUACUGCAGGGCUAGAGUGCAGAAGGGCAACUGGAAUUCUCGGUGUAGCGGUGAAAUGCGUAGAUAUCGAGAGGAACACCUGCGGCGAAGGCGGGUUGCUGGGCUGACACUGACGCUGACACUGCGAAAGCUAGGGGAGCGAACG